CCUGCACAAAGAGCACAGAUCCAUCUAGAGGAUCUGGGCUGGGAUGUGCUCGAUCCCACCCCUUGGAAAGCCUCGGACGGCUUCUGAUUGUAUUUCCCUGAAUAAAAUCAUGAUUUCCAAUC